GGGAAUGUGAUUGAAUGGUAGAAUAUUUGCCUAGUAUGCAUGAGGUCCUGGGUUUAAUCCCAGUACUGCUA
rnacentral:tRNA from 1 species